GAGGAAGUCGAAUAAAUUAGAUAAUUCAUUGCAUAUAUAGGUGUGAAAUCCAUGUGGGUUCGAACCCCACCUUCCUCU
rnacentral:tRNA from 1 species